AGCAUUCAGGGGUGAGUUUAACAACGCUCAAAUGUGGGUAAAAUAACAUUCAGAGAGGAUUUAUAUUAAAACAGCGUUCAACUGCAUGUAAGACAACAUUCAGAGUCCUGUAAUAACUGUGACGUCAUCGAAUGAGACGAAGGUCCAUGGCUAUUUCAACUCGGAAGUUGAGAUGAAGGUGCGGAAACUUGAGGCUGUCGGAUACAAGUCAAUUGUAUUUACUGGGAAACGGGAUAAAAAGGACCUGCCGGAGAGCCUCACCGUGGAGCUGCCGGAGAGCAUCGUCAUGGAACGGCCGGAGAAUCUCAACAAGGAGUCUGAGGCUGUUGUCGAUAAAAUAACUGGGGAAUUGAUAAAUAAGGGGAAAGCUGAAUUGGAAGUUCACUGGUGACCGUGCUCUGUGUGUGGCAAAACCUGGGAUGACACAUGGGAGCCUGCCAGCGAAUUCCAACACAAGUCCCACAUCCCAACCAGCUUUCAGCAUGACAGCCUACACCUUUUUAUUAUCAAGCACCUUUCAAUUGUUUUUGAUUGUCUUUGCUUGCUGUUCUUUAUUAAAGUUUUUGCACAGUA